rnacentral:rRNA from 1 species
GACGAACGCUGGCGGCGUGCCUAAUACAUGCAAGUAGAACGCUGAAGAGAGGAGCUUGCUCUUCUUGGAUGAGUUGCGAACGGGUGAGUAACGCGUAGGUAACCUGCCUGGUAGCGGGGGAUAACUAUUGGAAACGAUAGCUAAUACCGCAUAAAAUUGAUUAUUGCAUGAUAAUUAAUUGAAAGAUGCAACUGCAUCACUACCAGAUGGACCUGCGUUGUAUUAGCUAGUUGGUGAGGUAACGGCUCACCAAGGCGACGAUACAUAGCCGACCUGAGAGGGUGAUCGGCCACACUGGGACUGAGACACGGCCCAGACUCCUACGGGAGGCAGCAGUAGGGAAUCUUCGGCAAUGGGGGGAACCCUGACCGAGCAACGCCGCGUGAGUGAAGAAGGUUUUCGGAUCGUAAAGCUCUGUUGUAAGAGAAGAACGGGUGUGAGAGUGGAAAGUUCACACUGUGACGGUAUCUUACCAGAAAGAGACGGCUAACUACGUG